rnacentral:rRNA from 1 species
CUUAACACAUGCAAGUCGAGGGGUAUAGGUUUUCGGACCUAGAGACCGGCGCACGGGUGCGUAACGCGUAUGUAAUCUACCUUUUACAGGGGGAUAGCCCAGAGAAAUUUGGAUUAAUACCCCAUAGUAUUAUUGAAUGGCAUCAUUUAAUAAUUAAAGUUCCAACGGUAAAAGAUGAGCAUGCGUCCCAUUAGCUAGAUGGUAAGGUAACGGCUUACCAUGGCGACGAUGGGUAGGGGUCCUGAGAGGGAGAUCCCCCACACUGGUACUGAGACACGGACCAGACUCCUACGGGAGGCAGCAGUGAGGAAUAUUGGUCAAUGGGCGCAAGCCUGAACCAGCCAUGCCGCGUGCAGGAUGACGGUCCUAUGGAUUGUAAACUGCUUUUGUACGGGAAGAAACACUCCUACGUGUAGGAACUUGACGGUACCGUAAGAAUAAGGAUCGGCUAACUCCGUGCCAGCAGCCGCGGUAAUACGGAGGAUCCAAGCGUUAUCCGGAAUCAUUGGGUUUAAAGGGUCCGUAGCGGUUUUGUAAGUCAGUGGUGAAAGCCCAUCGCUCAACGGUGGAACGGCCAUUGAUACUGCAGAACUUGAAUUACUAGGAAGUAACUAGAAUAUGUAGUGUAGCGGUGAAAUGCUUAGAUAUUACAUGGAA